rnacentral:rRNA from 1 species
CCUACGGGCGGCAGCAGUGGGGGAUAUUGCAUAAUGGGGGAAACCCUGAUGCAGCGACGCCGCGUGAGUGAAGAAGUAUUUCGGUAUGUAAAGCGCUAACAGCAGGGAAGAAAAUGACAGUACCUGACCAAGAAGCCGCGGCUAACUACGUGCGAGCAGCCGCGGUAAUACGUAGGGGGCAAGCAUUAUCCGGAUUUACUGGGUGUAAAGGGAGCGUCGACGGGUAUGUAAGUCUGGAGUGAAAGCCCGGGGGCCAACCCCGGGACUGCUUUGGAAACUGUGUGACUGUAGUACAGGAGGGGCAGGCGGAAUUCCUGGUGUAGCGGUGAAAUGCGUAGAUAUCAGGAGGAACACCGGCGGCGAAGGCAGCCUGCUGGACUGAAACUGACGUUGAGGCUCGAAAGCGUGGGGAGCGAACAGGAUUAGAUACCCGAGUAGUC